rnacentral:rRNA from 1 species
GACGAACGCUGGCGGCGUGCCUAAUACAUGCAAGUAGAACGCUGAAGGAGGAGCUUGCUCUUCUGGAUGAGUUGCGAACGGGUGAGUAACGCGUAGGUAACCUGCCUGGUAGCGGGGGAUAACUAUUGGAAACGAUAGCUAAUACCGCAUAACAGUAGAUAUUGCAUGAUAUCUGCUUGAAAGGUGCAAUUGCAUCACUACCAGAUGGACCUGCGUUGUAUUAGCUAGUUGGUGGGGUAACGGCUCACCAAGGCGACGAUACAUAGCCGACCUGAGAGGGUGAUCGGCCACACUGGGACUGAGACACGGCCCAGACUCCUACGGGAGGCAGCAGUAGGGAAUCUUCGGCAAUGGACGGAAGUCUGACCGAGCAACGCCGCGUGAGUGAAGAAGGUUUUCGGAUCGUAAAGCUCUGUUGUAAGAGAAGAACGAGUGUGAGAGUGGAAAGUUCACACUGUGACGGUAUCUUACCAGAAAGGGACGGCUAACUACGUGCCAGCAGCCGCGGUAAUACGUAGGUCCCGAGCGUUGUCCGGAUUUAUUGGGCGUAAAGCGAGCGCAGGCGGUUAGAUAAGUCUGAAGUUAAAGGCUGUGGCUUAACCAUAGUACGCUUUGGAAACUGUUUAACUUGAGUGCAAGAGGGGAGAGUGGAAUUCCAUGUGUAGCGGUGAAAUGCGUAGAUAUAUGGAGGAACACCGGUGGCGAAAGCGGCUCUCUGGCUUGUAACUGACGCUGAGGCUCGAAAGCGUGGGGAGCAAACAGG